rnacentral:ncRNA from 1 species
UUUAAAAGCAUUAAAAUAGCGAACUAUACCUGAAAAGAACAAAGAAGAAAUUCAGGUGAAUUUUUAUAACAGGUUGACGUGCAAGUAAUCGUAAGAUUUGCGUAUUUGAAAAAAAGUCAAUCUAAUAAUCCAUCAGCUGGUUCUCUUCGAAGUUUCCCUCUGGACGGUUGGUUGCAUAAUGACUAGUGUUAUGCGGUAAAGUGAAUGAUUAGAGAUACUGAAGAGUGAACAUUUUCAAACUAUUCUUAAACUGUGAAUUGGCUUGGUACGCAGCUUUCGUUAGCAAAGUUGCGCGAAAGAAAUGCCAAUGGCUAAAGGACAAUUUUUGGUACAAAGAACUGUCAACGGGGGAUGAUCCAGACAUCGAUUUAAGGCGCUGAUACUAAAGUUGAGCAGAUACAUCGAAAUUUGUUAAUUGAUAGAUACUGCAGGAUGAUGGCAAUGGUGAUUGAAAUUGAUUAAGGAGCGUAUAACAACUCACCUGCCGAGCAAAUAGCCCUGAAAAUAAACGGCGCUGGAAUUACUCCAGCCUUUUGGCAUUCUCCACCGCUUUGUUUUUCCGGCGUUACGCAUUUGAAGUUGAUAGGAGUAGAAGAAGCUCAACAUUUGCCGUAUAGUCAGUACUUGAGCCUUGUGCGAGCCGUCUUUGGCGCAGAU